GGGUUGUGAGGUUAAGCGACUAAGCGUACACGGUGGAUGCCCUGGCAGUCAGAGGCGAUGAAGGACGUGCUAAUCUGCGAUAAGCGUCGGUAAGGUGAUAUGAACCGUUAUAACCGGCGAUUUCCGAAUGGGGAAACCCAGUGUGUUUCGACACACUAUCAUUAACUGAAUCCAUAGGUUAAUGAGGCGAACCGGGGGAACUGAAACAUCUAAGUACCCCGAGGAAAAGAAAUCAACCGAGAUUCCCCCAGUAGCGGCGAGCGAACGGGGAGGAGCCCAGAGCCUGAAUCAGUGUGUGUGUUAGUGGAAGCGUCUGGAAAGGCGCGCGAUACAGGGUGACAGCCCCGUACACAAAAAUGCACAUGCUGUGAGCUCGAUGAGUAGGGCGGGACACGUGGUAUCCUGUCUGAAUAUGGGGGGACCAUCCUCCAAGGCUAAAUACUCCUGACUGACCGAUAGUGAACCAGUACCGUGAGGGAAAGGCGAAAAGAACCCCGGCGAGGGGAGUGAAAAAGAACCUGAAACCGUGUACGUACAAGCAGUGGGAGCACGCUUCGGCGUGUGACUGCGUACCUUUUGUAUAAUGGGUCAGCGACUUAUAUUCUGUAGCAAGGUUAACCGAAUAGGGGAGCCGAAGGGAAACCGAGUCUUAACUGGGCGUUAAGUUGCAGGGUAUAGACCCGAAACCCGGUGAUCUAGCCAUGGGCAGGUUGAAGGUUGGGUAACACUAACUGGAGGACCGAACCGACUAAUGUUGAAAAAUUAGCGGAUGACUUGUGGCUGGGGGUGAAAGGCCAAUCAAACCGGGAGAUAGCUGGUUCUCCCCGAAAGCUAUUUAGGUAGCGCCUCGUGAAUUCAUCUCCGGGGGUAGAGCACUGUUUCGGCAAGGGGGUCAUCCCGACUUACCAACCCGAUGCAAACUGCGAAUACCGGAGAAUGUUAUCACGGGAGACACACGGCGGGUGCUAACGUCCGUCGUGAAGAGGGAAACAACCCAGACCGCCAGCUAAGGUCCCAAAGUCAUGGUUAAGUGGGAAACGAUGUGGGAAGGCCCAGACAGCCAGGAUGUUGGCUUAGAAGCAGCCAUCAUUUAAAGAAAGCGUAAUAGCUCACUGGUCGAGUCGGCCUGCGCGGAAGAUGUAACGGGGCUAAACCAUGCACCGAAGCUGCGGCAGCGACGCUGAUGCGUUGUUGGGUAGGGGAGCGUUCUGUAAGCCUGCGAAGGUGUGCUGUGAGGCAUGCUGGAGGUAUCAGAAGUGCGAAUGCUGACAUAAGUAACGAUAAAGCGGGUGAAAAGCCCGCUCGCCGGAAGACCAAGGGUUCCUGUCCAACGUUAAUCGGGGCAGGGUGAGUCGACCCCUAAGGCGAGGCCGAAAGGCGUAGUCGAUGGGAAACAGGUUAAUAUUCCUGUACUUGGUGUUACUGCGAAGGGGGGACGGAGAAGGCUAUGUUGGCCGGGCGACGGUUGUCCCGGUUUAAGCGUGUAGGCUGGUUUUCCAGGCAAAUCCGGAAAAUCAAGGCUGAGGCGUGAUGACGAGGCACUACGGUGCUGAAGCAACAAAUGCCCUGCUUCCAGGAAAAGCCUCUAAGCAUCAGGUAACAUCAAAUCGUACCCCAAACCGACACAGGUGGUCAGGUAGAGAAUACCAAGGCGCUUGAGAGAACUCGGGUGAAGGAACUAGGCAAAAUGGUGCCGUAACUUCGGGAGAAGGCACGCUGAUAUGUAGGUGAAGUCCCUCGCGGAUGGAGCUGAAAUCAGUCGAAGAUACCAGCUGGCUGCAACUGUUUAUUAAAAACACAGCACUGUGCAAACACGAAAGUGGACGUAUACGGUGUGACGCCUGCCCGGUGCCGGAAGGUUAAUUGAUGGGGUUAGCCGCAAGGCGAAGCUCUUGAUCGAAGCCCCGGUAAACGGCGGCCGUAACUAUAACGGUCCUAAGGUAGCGAAAUUCCUUGUCGGGUAAGUUCCGACCUGCACGAAUGGCGUAAUGAUGGCCAGGCUGUCUCCACCCGAGACUCAGUGAAAUUGAACUCGCUGUGAAGAUGCAGUGUACCCGCGGCAAGACGGAAAGACCCCGUGAACCUUUACUAUAGCUUGACACUGAACAUUGAGCCUUGAUGUGUAGGAUAGGUGGGAGGCUUUGAAGUGUGGACGCCAGUCUGCAUGGAGCCGACCUUGAAAUACCACCCUUUAAUGUUUGAUGUUCUAACGUUGACCCGUAAUCCGGGUUGCGGACAGUGUCUGGUGGGUAGUUUGACUGGGGCGGUCUCCUCCUAAAGAGUAACGGAGGAGCACGAAGGUUGGCUAAUCCUGGUCGGACAUCAGGAGGUUAGUGCAAUGGCAUAAGCCAGCUUGACUGCGAGCGUGACGGCGCGAGCAGGUGCGAAAGCAGGUCAUAGUGAUCCGGUGGUUCUGAAUGGAAGGGCCAUCGCUCAACGGAUAAAAGGUACUCCGGGGAUAACAGGCUGAUACCGCCCAAGAGUUCAUAUCGACGGCGGUGUUUGGCACCUCGAUGUCGGCUCAUCACAUCCUGGGGCUGAAGUAGGUCCCAAGGGUAUGGCUGUUCGCCAUUUAAAGUGGUACGCGAGCUGGGUUUAGAACGUCGUGAGACAGUUCGGUCCCUAUCUGCCGUGGGCGCUGGAGAACUGAGGGGGGCUGCUCCUAGUACGAGAGGACCGGAGUGGACGCAUCACUGGUGUUCGGGUUGUCAUGCCAAUGGCACUGCCCGGUAGCUAAAUGCGGAAGAGAUAAGUGCUGAAAGCAUCUAAGCACGAAACUUGCCCCGAGAUGAGUUCUCCCUGACUCCUUGAGAGUCCUGAAGGAACGUUGAAGACGACGACGUUGAUAGGCCGGGUGUGUAAGCGCAGCGAUGCGUUGAGCUAACCGGUACUAAUGAACCGUGAGGCUUAACCUUACAACGCCGAAGGUGUUU
rnacentral:rRNA from 1 species